rnacentral:rRNA from 1 species
GACGAACGCUGGCGGCGUGCCUAAUACAUGCAAGUCGAGCGGACUGAUUAAGAGCUUGCUCUUAUGACGUUAGCGGCGGACGGGUGAGUAACACGUGGGCAACCUGCCCUGUAGAUCGGGAUAACACCGAGAAAUCGGUGCUAAUACCGGGCAAUAUCUGAGAUCACAUGAUCUUAGGUUAAAAGAUGGCUCCGGCUAUCACUACAGGAUGGGCCCGCGGCGCAUUAGCUAGUUGGUAAGGUAAUGGCUUACCAAGGCGACGAUGCGUAGCCGACCUGAGAGGGUGAUCGGCCACACUGGGACUGAGACACGGCCCAGACGCCUACGGGAGGCAGCAGUAGGGAAUCUUCCGCAAUGGACGAAAGUCUGACGGAGCAACGCCGCGUGAGUGAUGAAGGGGUUCGGCUCGUAAAGCUCUGUUGUUAGGGAAGAAACAGUACCGAACGAACUAGGUCGGUACCUUGACGGUACCUAACCAGAAAGCCACGGCUAACUACGUG